rnacentral:rRNA from 1 species
UACGGAGGGGGCUAGCGUUGUUCGGAAUUACUGGGCGUAAAGCGCACGUAGGCGGCUUUGUAAGUUAGAGGUGAAAGCCCGGGGCUCAACUCCGGAAUUGCCUUUAAGACUGCAUCGCUAGAAUUGUGGAGAGGUAAGUGGAAUUCCUGGUGUAGCGGUGAAAUGCGUAGAUACCAGGAGGAACACCGGUGGCGAAGGCGGCUUCCUGGCCGAGUACUGACGCUGAGGCACGAAAGCGUGGGGAGCGAACGGG